UCAAGAAGAAGUAGCACCAAGAGCCGAGUAAACUGUAAUUUUUUUGUUAAAACAUCUCACUUACCUUAGUUAAAAACCAGGGUUCGAAACUAUAUUAGUCAGAAUACAGUUCUUGUUGUCAGCUAGAUUUCAUUUUCUGGUAAUAUCAUUUGUCGUUAAGAACAUGCUCUUAUGUUAUAUUUUAUUUGUAAACUUUUGGCAAUUUUUUCAGCAAGCAUUUCUUUAGGAAACAGAGAAAACCGCAGCAACUAUUUGAUGUUUCUCGACGCUUGAAGACAACAAGUGAAGUUGUUGCUACCAUCUUACAAGCCAAAGUCAUGAGAAAGUCGGGUGUUAAAAUGUUGGGAGAUUACAAAGUUCAUGCUCUAUUCACACAUGGUGGAGGCAACCCAACAAGUUGUUGCGGGAGCCAGCAGAGAAAGGAGUCGAGGAACCCGCAUCAUGGGAGAGUCAUCGAGGGGCAUCCGGAUAAAGCCUAUAUACUGGAUGAGAUUCUCAUUGCCGGCAUUCUUCAUGAACCUAUCAAGGAGAACAUUUCAAUACUAAUUGCAGCACAUGUUUUCUCACCACCGGCUAACAAGAAGAGAGUAUGAUUUUCUAAUGCUCAGUGUUGUAAGCUUGAUUCACGAGGAGCUUCUCAAUGUUGUACAUGUUGUUUGUGA